UACGAAGGGGGCUAGCGUUGCUCGGAAUCACUGGGCGUAAAGCGCACGUAGGCGGCUUCUUAAGUCAGGGGUGAAAUCCUGGAGCUCAACUCCAGAACUGCCUUUGAUACUGAGGAGCUUGAGUCCGGGAGAGGUGAGUGGAACUGCGAGUGUAGAGGUGAAAUUCGUAGAUAUUGGGAAGAACACCGGUGGCGAAGGCGGCGCUCUGGACCGAGACUGACGCUGAGACGCGAAAGCGUGGGGAGCGAACAGG
rnacentral:rRNA from 1 species